rnacentral:rRNA from 1 species
AUUGAACGCUGGCGGCAUGCUUUACACAUGCAAGUCGAACGGUAACAGGCCUUCGGGUGCUGACGAGUGGCGAACGGGUGAGUAAUGCAUCGGAACGUACCCAGAGGUGGGGGAUAACGCAGCGAAAGCUGUGCUAAUACCGCAUGUGAUCUGAGGAUGAAAGCGGGGGACCGAGCAGCAAUGUUUGGCCUCGCGCCUUUGUAGCGGCCGAUGUCGGAUUAGCUAGUUGGUGGGGUAAAGGCCUACCAAGGCGACGAUCCGUAGCUGGUCUGAGAGGACGACCAGCCACACUGGGACUGAGACACGGCCCAGACUCCUACGGGAGGCAGCAGUGGGGAAUUUUGGACAAAGGGCGCAAGCCUGAUCCAGCAAUGCCGCGUGCGGGAAGAAGGCCUUCGGGUUGUAAACCGCUUUUGGCAGGAACGAAACGGUGUCCGCUAAUACCGGGCGCUAAUGACGGUACCUGCAGAAUAAGCGCCGGCUAACUACGUG